rnacentral:lncRNA from 1 species
GUAGAACGGUGACAUGGGCGCCAGGAGGCGCUGUGGAGACCGAGGAGGUAGGGGAAAACCGAGGCUGGACGUCAGCGUCGCCCAGUCGGCCACAGCUGCCCCUCGAGCAGCGAGUGGGGCAGGAGCGGCUCUACCUUUCCUUGCGACCUACUCGCCUGCUGAGCCCAGACCUUGCUCCAGGGUAGCUCCAAGCUGCCCCACAGGAUUUAGCCCGCUUAUUUUCUCCCCUAACCCUGCAAGUUCUGUAGGGCCUUGUUGAAGAUGUUAACUCUUCUGUAAUAACUAACCAUUUCAUCUUGCCCAGCACCCUCUUUUGGCACACGAGAGCCCUGAGACCCCAAAAGAGGAAAUGAGAUUCUGAGGCCGUAUAGCAAGGUGGACCCAACCGGGGACUCCUGGGCGGCAAAUACAAGGAUUGGGUUAGGUAUCAGGAUAUCUGAGUGUUCACAUACAGCGUCCUCACCAUGUGCUGCGUCAGUGGUUCACAAAGUGAGCUUCCGGAUCAGCAGCGGCCGUAUCGCCUGGGAACUGGGUAGAGGCGCAGGUUCUCGGCCCCCAUUCCACGCCUACUGACUCAGAACCCCUGGGGAUGGGGCUCCUUCCGGUGGCCCUCCAGGUGGUGCCAGGCUCACUGUGCUGACUCCCUGCUGGCAUGUAGUUCAGAAGACAAACUAAUGAAUCUGUCACAGAAUGUUGGAAGAAUGACUAGCCCUUGGCCUAAAGGUAAGUUUUCACUCUGCCAGGUCUCCCCCUGGUGAAGAUGUAUAAUGGGGAACCUGAUCUGGGGGGAUUAGGGAAGGGUAAACUCUGAAGGAAGACAUUAGAAGGAAAAGAGGGAGGUGAAGGUGGG